rnacentral:rRNA from 1 species
GUGAACGCUGGCGGUAGGCCUAACACAUGCAAGUCGAACGGCAGCACCGUAAGAGCUUGCUCUUACGGGUGGCGAGUGGCGGACGGGUGAGGAAUACGUCGGAAUCUACUUUUUCGUGGGGGAUAACGUAGGGAAACUUACGCUAAUACCGCAUACGACCUACGGGUGAAAGCAGGGGAUCUUCGGACCUUGCGCGAUUGAAUGAGCCGAUGUCGGAUUAGCUAGUUGGCGGGGUAAAGGCCCACCAAGGCGACGAUCCGUAGCUGGUCUGAGAGGAUGAUCAGCCACACUGGAACUGAGACACGGUCCAGACUCCUACGGGAGGCAGCAGUGGGGAAUAUUGGACAAUGGGCGCAAGCCUGAUCCAGCCAUACCGCGUGGGUGAAGAAGGCCUUCGGGUUGUAAAGCCCUUUUGUUGGGAAAGAAAAGCAGCAGGUUAAUACCCCGCUGUUCUGACGGUACCCAAAGAAUAAGCACCGGCUAACUUCGUG